GCGUACAUCGUAUAAUGGCUAUUACCUCAGCCUUCCAAGCUGAUGAUGCGGGUUCGAUCCCCGCUGUACGCUCCA
rnacentral:tRNA from 4 species